CAAUCACUUGAAAAUAACAUGGCCCAAGCACUGGGGGGCGCCACCUCUUCCCGCCACUUUGCCCGGAGACGGGAUGGGGUGCAGAGAAGGAGCGCCUAGGAUUUCCUGGAUGUUGAGGGCCCCCCUGGAGCCCUCAUCACUCCCAGAGCCGCCUCAGAGCCCCGCCCUGCCGGUCCUCUGACCGCCCCAGCAACAAGGCUGUGACUUCCAUUAAUCCUUCCUUUGUCUCCUGGAGCCAACGCGUGUUGCAAUCCUGAAAAGCGGCCCCAGGUUUCUGGCCUGUGCCCGAGGAGGCCUCCAGUGCUGCCCUCGGUCACCAUGGGGACGGGCUGAGGACAGCCUGGAUGAGCAGCCCGCAGGACCGCAGCCUCUGCCCCUCCAGCUGUGUGCUUAGCUUCCCGGAAAGCUGUCAGCCUUCCUCUUACAGGCUGCCUGUUCGAGGAUGGCCUUUGCGG
rnacentral:lncRNA from 1 species